UUUAUUAUUGUUACUUUCUGUAAGGUAUGGGCAAGGGAUCACCUUUUAUCUGCCCAUGUGAUGGCAAUAUGCCACAAGUAUGUCCAGUGUCCUUGACAUAUAGUGUUUCUCUUCUGACUUGCAAACAAUUUGUCCAGUAAUGUUCCAUCCCUAUGCCACAAAUGAUGCAAAAUUCUCUCAACCCUGUCCAGUAACUAAAACAUUCCAAAACAAUACGUCCUACUUCCAUAAUCAAUUCCCAUGAAAGAUACAUGGAAAAUAAAGAUGUAGAAGUGAAUGUAACUGUGUGCAGUAUUCCAGCUUCUCUCAAAAGAAGAUGCACUGGACUUAUUGAGGAUCGUGUGGUCCCAGAAAU